UACGAAGGGGGCUAGCGUUGCUCGGAAUCACUGGACGUAAAGCGCACGUAGGCGGCUUGUUAAGUCAGGGGUGAAAUCCUGGAGCUCAACUCCAGAACUGCCUUUGAUACUGAAGAUCUUGAGUUCGGGAGAGGUGAGUGGAACUGCGAGUGUAGAGGUGAAAUUCGUAGAUAUUCGCAAGAACACCAGUGGCGAAGGCGGCUCACUGGCCCGAUACUGACGCUGAGGCACGAAAGCGUGGGGAGCAAACAGG
rnacentral:rRNA from 1 species